AUUGAACGCUGGCGGCAGGCCUAACACAUGCAAGUCGAACGAGUGGCGGACGGGUGAGUAAUGUAUUGGAAACUGCCCGAUGGAGGUGGAUAACUACUGGAACCGGUAGCUAAUAACGCGUAACAUGGGAUAUCACCAGAUGGGAUUAGCUUGUGGGUGAGGUAACGGCUAACCUAGGCGACGAUCCCUAGCUGGUCUGAGAGGAUGACCAGCCACACUGGAACUGAGCAACGGGCCAGACGCCUACGGGAGGCAGCAGUGGGGAAUAUUGCACAAUGGGCGCAAGCCUGAUGCAGCCAUGCCGCGUGUCUGAAGAAGGCCUUCGGGUGGUAAAGUACUUUCAGCGGGGAGGCGUUACCCGCAGAAGAAGCACCGGCUAACUCCGUGCCAGCAGCCGCGGUAAUUC
rnacentral:rRNA from 1 species